rnacentral:rRNA from 1 species
UACGUAGGUGGCAAGCGUUGUCCGGAUUUAUUGGGCGUAAAGCGAGCGCAGGUGGUUUAAUAAGUCUGAUGUAAAAGGCAGUGGCUCAACCAUUGUGUGCAUUGGAAACUGUUAGACUUGAGUGCAGUAGAGGAGAGUGGAAUUCCAUGUGUAGCGGUGAAAUGCGUAGAUAUAUGGAGGAACACCGGUGGCGAAAGCGGCUCUCUGGACUGUAACUGACGCUGAGGAGCGAAAGCGUGGGGAGCGAACAGG